UUCUCAAAUUCUACAACAAUUUCAUUUUCUUUUCAGAAUCAUAAACCCCUUUGUACAGGAUGAUGACUGCGUGUUAGAUCUGAGAGCUCCGAUCGAAAGCAUCAAACAUCCUCUGCGAUCUUCGUACUAGCCUCCUUUGAUUACUACGCCAAAGGGAAGAUCUCUCUUUAAAGUCGCACAAAUCAGGUUGGUGUUGUUGUUGGCAUUGAUAUUGAUUCUAUUCCCCCUUCUUCUCCUAUCUCUCUCGUCCCGCGUCACACAAAUCAGCAGCAAUGUCUGGAGAGUCCGCCACCGCUAUUCACAAGGAUCAUGCAUACUAUGUGCCUAAAGAAGAUGAAUCUCAUUGCAUUUUAGGUUCAAUCAAAAAACAAAGAUGGUGAUAUGUAUGUGCCAAGCAGUUGACAACUGAGGGUGCUUAAAAUGGUUCGGAGUUUACUAUUGUAAGGCCAUUUUAUUGGAUUUGACCUAGAAUGGACUUCGUUCCCGACAUCAACUGUCCAAGUGAGGGUGUUCCCCGUGUUCUUGCAUGCUUCCCCAAUAAUAUUAUGUAGCGAAUCCCAAAUAACCUUUGUUUACAUCAAAGAUGCUAUUGAAGUUGUCCUAUUUAUGAUUAAAAACCUUGCUAGAACCAAAGGCCACAUCUUCAAUGUAUGUAACCCAAACAACGAGGAUUCAAAACUAUUGAUGUUCUAUUCCAUUUUACGGGGAAGGAUAUGAUGACAAUGACAAGGAAAUUCUUGACAUGAUCAUAAUCAAAAAGCUGAUAGGUAAGUUUAGGUUUUCGUUUCAGUUUCAUCUUUCAUUUGUUCAUCCUAUUUUCUCUUCAAAAUUUCAAGUUAACUUACCUGUGAAUUGUUACGCAUCCAUUUUACAAAAAUGACUUAAACAUUUGUAAACCCAAUAAAAUAAUCCUAUUGAGUAAAAGUCUUGGAUAGUAGUGACAAUAAGCAAAUAGUUUCAUUAAUAUGGUAAGAAACAAAGGAUAAGUACAAGGUAUGCAAAAGCUAAAAAAAAUACAAAUCUAGAUCCAAAAUAUAUAGAUACAUAAAAGUAUAACAAACUAUUUUCAAUUCACAAAACCAGGUAUUCUAAAAAGUGGAUGAGUUAUUAAUAUUCUAUUAUGGGUUAUUUAUACUCUGUUAUAGGUUUAGUUAUUUGUUUUUUUACUGAUAGCUAUCAAUGAACUAUGUGUGUAAUAAUUAGUACCAGAAGUAGUGCAGUAGAUGCUAAUGUUCUAUGUUAAUUUAGUGUGCUAAUGUUCUGUCAUAAUUGGGUAAAGGUUUUGGAAACCAUUGAAAGACCAUUCUAGUAGUUAAAACUCCUAGAACAAAACAUUCAUAAUUUUGCUAUCAAUUUUUUGAAAUCCCUGUUUGUUAUGUGAGUGUCUUAUGUCCCCAAUUUCAUUAAUAUGUCUUCAAUCACAUGGUUCUGUGUGGUUUGGGCAUGGAUGGAAAACACAUUUUGAACAUAUGUAGUGGCUAUGGCUUAUUAGUUUAAUUGUAUUAUUAACUUGAUAUAGUAUCUGUUCAUGGUUUUUUGUCUACAAUUUUGAGUAGGUACUGGCUUUCGGUGUAAAGGAUCAUACUUGUUUGGCUACUUCAGCAUAUACAUAAAAAUGGUCCCUGGUGAUUAAGUUGCCACAAUCAUCACUUUUUAUGUAUGAACCCACAUUGUUUUAUAUGAUUUUAUUUAUUUAUUUUGUUUAAGCCAAUUUUAUAAUGAGAUAAAUCAUUUUGCUUAUGUGUUUGUAAAAUUAUAUAAAAUAAUGCGGUUAUCUUCCCAAAAUGACGAGCAUUAUGAAAUAUACUUUGAGUUUUUAUUGGCUGGACUGAUUUUUUUUAAUUUUUAUUGCCUUUUUUUUAUAAUAAUGCUAAAAAUUGA